CUGUUGUGUCUAUAAACCUUUCUCUAAGUUCUUCGGUUAAUUCAAGUUCUAUAUUUCUUAUAUUAUUUUUAUCAAUUUUAAUUGCUUUUAUUAAUUUUUUUAUCUCUUCUUUAUUAUAUACCUUUAGUGUAUAUAAACUAUCGACUAUUGCUCUUAUAGGGUCCAUGGGGACUAUGGCUCUGAUACCAUCUAAUGAUAACAAUUAACACAAAAUUUCAUCUAAUGAUAUCAAAAUUAACAAAAUUACGAUACAAAAAUAUUAAAUUUACAGAAUAGCUCAUCAAUUACAUCUAAUGAUAACAAAAUUAACAAAAUUACAAUACCAAAAUAUUAAAUUUACAAAAUAGCUCAUCAAUUAUAUUCAUCAAAAUUUUAUACUUAAUGUAGAAAUAAGGACAUAGUUAUUAUAAAACAAAAUUCUAUUAUUAAUAGUGACAAACAGACGUAUAUGAUUAAUACAUUUAGAAUACAUUUCUAUGUAUUUUAGGCUUUUAUGAAAAAGUACGUGGCAUUGUUUUACCUCUAGGUACAGUUAUCAAAGUAGCUCUUUGGACCAGUAACCCGCAACCCGAAGAGGUUUCCAGCUUAUAUACUUUUCAUCGUUAUAUUUCAAAUUCUUCAUUUUCAGAAUUAUAGGUAUAUGAAGGUUCAGCUUCAUAAGUUUUUUUGUUCUAAAUAGGCUUUUGCUACAUCUAUUCCUUCUUCUAUGGUUAACAUAAUUAUGUUAUGUUUUAGGUUAUCUAUUUCAAUGUUGUUUAUAAUUUUUCUCUUUAUUUCUUGGGAUAAUUUAAGUGAGUCUACUGCUAACAAGUCUUCUGUUCUAACAAGUUCUUGUUUACUAAAAAGGUACAAGCUUUGUUUAAAUGAUCCUAAAUCGAAGUCUAUUAUCAUCAUGUAUUCAUUAUAUGUUAUUUUAGUAGUUGGGUUUAUCAUGUAUUCUUUAGAUUCUCCUAAAUAAAAUUUGUAAUUCAUCUUAAAAAUUUGCUUCAGUUUAAGAAGUUACUCUUCCUCCAUAAAUCAUUCCAUCAAUAACCAUCAACAACCUCCACCAAGAGAUAAUAGUUGAGUAUUAUUACCUAAAUCACCUUUUCUCCUUUUCCUUCUGAUCUCCUUCCAGUGUCCUGCAGCCUGGUUGUCCUGUUCCCUAAACGGCCUCCUGCCUCAGCGGGAUCUGUGGACUCAGAUGGCUUUACUGUGUGGAUUUCGAUCGUUUUGUUAAAGAAGUGUUUGAUGAGUUUAGGUUCCUCUUCUUUUUCUCUAAUGGUUUUUGUUUUUAAUUAAUGAUGAUUUGAUUUAGGAUUUAGAGUAAGGAAGUGUUUAGAGAAUCAUCGCAAGUAUUUCCAGAGAGUUAUGAAAAAAUAUUUCUGAGUUUUCUG
rnacentral:lncRNA from 1 species